UACGGAGGGUGCGAGCGUUGUCCGGAAUCACUGGGCGUAAAGGGCGCGUAGGCGGCGCGGGUAGUCAUCGGUGAAAGUUCAGGGCUCAACUCUGAAUCGGCCGGUGAUACUCCCGUGCUCGAGCACUGUAGAGGCAGGUGGAAUUCCGGGUGUAGCGGUGGAAUGCGUAGAGAUCCGGAAGAACACCGGUGGCGAAGGCGGCCUGCUGGGCUAUGGCUGACACUGAGGCGCGACAGCGUGGGGAGCAAACAGG
rnacentral:rRNA from 1 species